UACAGAGGUCUCAAGCGUUGUUCGGAUUCAUUGGGCGUAAAGGGUGCGUAGGUGGCGCGCUAAGUCAGGUGUGAAAUUUCGGAGCUUAACUCCGAAACUGCAUUUGAUACUGGCGUGCUUGAGGACUGGAGAGGAGACUGGAAUUCACGGUGUAGCAGUGAAAUGCGUAGAUAUCGUGAGGAAGACCAGUGGCGAAGGCGGGUCUCUGGACAGUUCCUGACACUGAGGCAGCGAAGGCCAGGGGAGCAAACGGG
rnacentral:rRNA from 1 species